CAUGCUUGAUGAUCAUUUUUAUCUCAUUUGUUUAAUGAAACAAUUUCAUUGCUAACCAUGAGCUGGUGAUUGUCAGUUGCUGUUCGCGAUUUAUUUUACAACCAACUAGUUCGGAGGAAAUACAUGCAAUCCAGUCCCAAUAAGGUGCUGCAAUCAAUCAAGAAAUGUGUACAACGGCUUGCUCUUGUGCAUCCAAAUGUUUCCUUCAAAGUUAUCGAUGUUGAAAGGUCCAAAAGUGAAUUUUAUAGGGUUCUAGUUCAAAUUCAGAACAUUUAUUAGCAAAACGAAGCCUACUUGAUUACUUUUUCACCGAGCUAGCAAAAGUAGUUGUCAUUAUUGGUGAAUGAGGAUCCUGCUAUUAUGGAAAGACAUGGUGCCCUUGAAAGAGGUUCGAGUUAUAUUGGAGUGUACAAACUGAGAUAGAUGCAGUUGCUUGCACUAAGCAGAUAUUGAUAUGUUUAUAAAUUAUUUUUACCAUGUUUUA